rnacentral:lncRNA from 1 species
GAUGACUUGGGUCCAAGCCCAUCAUGGACCCAUCACUAGAAGCAUAGAAGACUCCAAGAAGAGCUUGAGGACAUGGAUCCAAAUAGGCAAGUUCUCUUCAUACAAUUUAAGUGGAAGUUGGAGACACCAAGGGAAGGGGCAAAACUGUCCACAUGAAGGCUAAAAUUGCUAGCAGCACCCCCAUUUUUUACUAAGCACAUUGUCGGUCAUUUCCCUUCAGCAGAUCACGUUUUCUUCAAUUUUGCACAUUGUAAAUAAGGCUUCUAGAUGCCAGCAUACUUUGCAUUGCUUUGACAGGUGGAUGGAGAUCCUACUCUUUUGGAAUUCAUCCAUACCACACAUAGCUCAUUAGAUUUCCUAUAAAUUCACAGUGCAGCCCAUGUAAAAAUACUUUGGAUAUUAUGAGAAAUUUCUCUUCAUUGCUGAAGUUCUUAUUAGCCGAGAAUCUCUGACCAAAGUCACCUUUCUUCAAUCUUCUCUCCACCUCCAAGCUUUCUUCCAACCAUGGGAAGCCGUCUGAAGCUUGAGCACUCACCACUCUGAUCUACAAUCACCGUCCACUUCCAUGGUUCAUCCAUCAUCAAUGCAGAUUUCAUUCAACUCUGAUGUGUCACGGGUUUUACACCUAUUCUUUGCUGAAGGAACUCAUCACUAACUAUAUGGGGAACCAAUACCGGUUUAGACAAGGGAAUUUCAAUCAAGGCAAUCCUAGCCAGGGUUGGAAAAAUCAUCCAAGUAUUGGUCAACAGCAGAAUAACUCAUCAGGGC